CCAGGGCGGCAGCUUACCAUGCAAGUCGAACGCCCUGGUAACAGGGAGUGGCAGACGGGUGGGUAACGCGUGGGAACGUACCCUUUACUACGGAAUAACUCAGGGAAACUUGUGCUAAUACCGUAUGUGCCCUUCGGGGGAAAGAUUUAUCGGUAAAGGAUCGGCCCGCGUUGGAUUAGCUAGUUGGUGGGGUAAAGGCCUACCAAGGCGACGAUCCAUAGCUGGUCUGAGAGGAUGAUCAGCCACAUUGGGACUGAGACACGGCCCAAACUCCUACGGGAGGCAGCAGUGGGGAAUAUUGGACAAUGGGCGCAAGCCUGAUCCAGCCAUGCCGCGUGAGCGAUGAAGGCCCUAGGGUUGUAAAGCUCUUUCACCGGUGAAGAUAAUGACGGUAACCGGAGAAGAAGCCCCGGCUAACUUCGUGCCAGCAGCCGCGGUAAUACGAAGGGGGCUAGCGUUGUUCGGAAUUACUGGGCGUAAAGCGCACGUAGGCGGGUAUUUAAGUCAGGGGUGAAAUCCCAGAGCUCAACUCUGGAACUGCCUUUGAUACUGGGUACCUAGAGUAUGGAAGAGGUAAGUGGAAUUCCGAGUGUAGAGGUGAAAUUCGUAGAUAUUCGGAGGAACACCAGUGGCGAAGGCGGCUUACUGGUCCAUUACUGACGCUGAGGUG
rnacentral:rRNA from 1 species